rnacentral:tRNA from 1 species
GGGGAGAUACUCAAGCGGCCAACGAGGACAGACUGUAAAUCUGUUGACUUUUGUCUUCACAGGUUCGAAUCCUGUUCUCCCCA